UUGAAGAGUUUGAUCAUGGCUCAGAUUGAACGCUGGCGGCAGGCCUAACACAUGCAAGUCGAACGGUAACAUUUCUAGCUUGCUAGAAGAUGACGAGUGGCGGACGGGUGAGUAAUGCUUGGGAACUUGCCUUUGCGAGGGGGAUAACAGUUGGAAACGACUGCUAAUACCGCAUAAUGUCUUCGGACCAAACGGGGCUUCGGCUCCGGCGCAAAGAGAGGCCCAAGUGAGAUUAGCUAGUUGGUAAGGUAACGGCUUACCAAGGCGACGAUCUCUAGCUGUUCUGAGAGGAAGAUCAGCCACACUGGGACUGAGACACGGCCCAGACUCCUACGGGAGGCAGCAGUGGGGAAUAUUGGACAAUGGGGGCAACCCUGAUCCAGCCAUGCCGCGUGGGUGAAGAAGGCCUUAGGGUUGUAAAGCACUUUAAUCAGGGAAGAAAAAGCUUUGGCUAAUAUCCAAAGCCUUGACGGUACCUGAAGAAUAAGCACCGGCAAACUCUGUGCCAGCAGCCGCGGUAAUACAGAGGGUGCGAGCGUUAAUCGGAUUUACUGGGCGUAAAGCGUGCGUAGGAGGCUUGUUAAGUCGGUUGUGAAAUCCCCGGGCUCAACCUGGGAAUGGCAUUUGAGACUGGUAGGCUAGAAUGUGGUAGAGGUGAGUGGAAUUCCAGGUGUAGCGGUGAAAUGCGUAGA
rnacentral:rRNA from 1 species